rnacentral:rRNA from 1 species
GUGGGGAAUAUUGGACAAUGUGGGGAACCCUGAUCCAGCCAUGCCACGUGUGUGAAGAAGGCCUUUUGGUUGUAAAGCACUUUAAGCGAGGAGGAGGCUACCGAGAUUAAUACUCUUGGAUAGUGGACGUUACUCGCAGAAUAAGCACCGGCUAACUCUGUGCCAGCAGCCGCGGUAAUACAGAGGGUGCAAGCGUUAAUCGGAUUUACUGGGCGUAAAGCGCGCGUAGGUGGCCAAUUAAGUCAAAUGUGAAAUCCCCGAGCUUAACUUGGGAAUUGCAUUGGAUACUGGUUGGCUAGAGUAUGGGAGAGGAUGGUAGAAUUCCAGGUGUAGCGGUGAAAUGCGUAGAGAUCUGGAGGAAUACCGAUGGCGAAGGCAGCCAUCUGGCCUAAUACUGACACUGAGGUGCGAAAGCAUGGGGAGCAAACAGGAUUAGAAACCCCUGUAGUCC